rnacentral:lncRNA from 1 species
GUAAAGAAGAGCUCAGUGUGUCAGUGUGUUCUGAGACAAGUACACAUAAGAACAGACUUUUAAGAAUUGUAGACCUGGACGUCGUCCCCCUUGUGAAUACCGAAGGAUUAUUUGUGUCUGAGCAUAGGGGAUGAUCAUUGUGAACCUGAUUUCAUUCACUUAGCUAAGGGAACAUGAACAUGUCCUGAUGAUUAUUUUCUCUGGUAUCAGCCAAAGACAACGUGCUGCAGCCAGAAGGAGACGUGACAAUACCAGACUGCUACUGAAGGAGACGCAGUAACACUUGGCUUGUGUAACAGCAGCAGUUCAACAAGUCCAUCUCUCUACUGGUACAAACAGGAUGGAAACAACAGCCCCACAUUCAUCCUGAAUCCAGUUAAACUAGAUGACGGCAACACACCAAACGAGUACAGGGAGAGAUUUUCAUCCACACUGAAUUCGAAAUCCAGAUCAGUUCCUCUGAAGAUCCAGAAGCUUCAGCUGUCUGACUCUGCUGUGUACUACUGUGCUCUGCAGCCCACAGUGACAGGAAACACCAAAACUCUGUACAAAAACCUUUGGAGCAAAGACAACACAAUACUCCACAACAUCCACCAGAGGGAGACACACACUGUUAAACUUCAGUGGUUUGUUGCAGGAAGUCAAAGCCCAAUCAGCUUGAUGCUGAGGAGAAGAGCUGUGCAGCAGACACUGUUUAGUUGUUUCAUUCUACUGCAGUGGAAGAACACUGUUCAUCUGCUGUCUGACUUCAACAACUCCAAAGACAUGUUGCUUUACUUCUUUCUCUUUUUAUCUCACUUCAUAGGACUAACAGCUGGAGACACAAUCUCUCCUGUAGAAGAUGAAGUCACUGGAAGAGAAGGAGAAUCUGUCAAACUCACAUGUCGCUAUCAAACAGAUAGAACUAAUAUUUAUCUUUUCUGGUACAAACAUCAUUCAGACCUGGAAGCUCCUCAAUUUAUACUCAGGAAAGGAGCAAAAUCAUGGAGUGAUAGACAAUAUAUUCCUGAUAAUCGAUAUGAAUCCCAAACAUCAGAUGCAUCAACUGAACUGACCAUAAAGAGUCUAACCCUGGCAGACACAGCUCUCUACUACUGUGCUCUAGAAACACAGUGAUACAAAGUGUAGAAGAGUCUGUACAAAAACCUGAACACUGAUAUCUGACUACUCUUCAAAGAGGAGGGAAGUGG